UCCUUGGAAUUGCCACUGGGAUCCUUGGAAGAGUUUCUGGGACGGUCAUGGUUCUGUUGGGAUCCUUGGGAAUGUCUUUGGGAUAUUUGGUGGUUCUGUUGAGAUCUUUGGUUGCUCCAUUGGAUUCCUUGGAAGAGUUUUUGGGAUCCUUGGAAUUGCCAUCAGGAUGCUUGGAAGUGCCAUCAGGAUGGUCGUGGUUCCAUGGGAAUCCUUGGGAAUGUCUUUGGGAUGCUUGGGGCUUCCAUUAGAACCCUUGGAAGAGUUGUUGGGAUUGUCAUGGUGUCAUUGGGAUCCUUGGAAUUGUCAUUGAAAUCCUUGGAAUUGCCUUUGGGAUCCUUGGAAUUGCCUUUGGGAUCCUUGGAAUGGCCUUUGGGAUCCUUGGAAUUGCCUUUGGGAUUCUUGGAAUGGCCUUUGGGAUCCUUGGUGGUUCGACUCAAAUCCUUGGAGUUGCCUUUGGAAUAUUUGGAAGCGCCAUUGGAAUCCUUGGAAGGGUGGUUGGGGUGGUCGCGGUUCCUUUGGGAUCCUUGGAAUUGCCAUUGGAAUCCUUGGCAUUGCCAUUGGGAUCCUUGGAAAAGCCAUUGGGAUCCUCGGAAUCGCCUUUGGAAUCUUCGGAAGAGCCCUUGGGAUUCUUGGAGGUUCCAUUGGAACCCUUGGAAGAGCUUUGAGAUCCUCGGAAUUGCCCCUGGGAUGCUCCAAGGUUCCACUGGAAUCCUUGGUGGUUCCAUUGGAUUCCUUGGAAGCGCCGUUGGGAUGGUCAUGGUUCCAUUGGGAUCUUUGGGAAUGUCUUUGGGAAUGUCUUGGUGGUUCCACUGGAACCCUUGGUGGUUCCAUUGGAUUCCUUGGAAUUGCCAUUGGAUUCCUUGGAAGGGUUGUUGGGAUGCUCGUGGUUCCCUUGGGAUCCUUGGGAAUGUCUUUGGGAUAUUUGGUGGUUCCAUUGGAACCCUUGGAAUUCCCAUUGGAUUCCUUGGAAUUGCCAUUGGAAUCCUUGGAAGGGUCGUUGGGAAAGUCACGGCUCCAUUGAGGUCCUUGGGAAUGUCCUGGGCACGUGUGGAAAUUCCCAUUGGAUUCCUUGGGAUUGCCGUUGGGAUCCUUGGAAUUGCCACUGGGAUUUUUGGUGGUUCCACUCAAAUCUUUGGAAUGGCCUUUGGAAUCCUUGGAGUUGCCAUUGGGAUCCUUGGGAAUGCCUUUGGGAUAUUUGGUGGUUCCGUUGGGAUUCCUGCUGGUUCCUUUGGAAUCCUUGGAAGAGUCGUUGGGAUGCUCACGGUUCCCUUGGGAUCCUUGGGAAUGUCUUUGGGACAUUUGGUGCUUCCAUUGGAACCCUUGGAAGAGCCCUUGGAAUUGCCAUUGGGAUCCUUGGGAAUGUCUUUGGGACAUUUGGUGCUUCCAUUGGGAUCUUUGGUGCUUCCACUGGAUUCCUUGGCAGAGGCCUUGGGAACUUUGGAAUUGCCACUGGAAUCCUUGGGAUCCUCCGUGGUUCCAUUGGGAUUCCCGGCAUUCCCGGCAUUCCCGUUCCUCCGCAGUCCGGCAGUUCCUGGAGAGCGGGAUCAGCCCCGACCUGUGCAACGAGGACGGGCUGACGGCGCUGCACCAGCUCCAUCCGUUCAUCCCAAAUCCCAGUGAUCCCAAAUCCCGGUGAUCCCAGAUCCUGGUGAUCCCAAAUCCAGGUCAUUCCCAUCCCAGAUCCCAGCGAUCCCAGAUCCCAAUGAUCCCAAAUCCAGGUCAUUCCCAUCCCAGAUUCAUCCAUUCAUCCCAAAUCCCAGUGAUCCCAAAUCCAGGUAAUUCCCAUCCCAGAUCCCAGUGAUCCCAAAUCCCAGUGAUCCCAGAUCCCAGCGAUCCCAAAUCCCAGUGAUCCCAAAUCCAGGUCAUUCCCAUCCCAAAUCCAUCCAUUCAUCCCAGAUCCCAGUGAUCCCAAAUCCAGGUCAUUCCCAUCCCAGAUCCAUCCAUUCAUCCCAAAUCCCAGUGAUCCCAAAUCCCAGUGAUCCCAAAUCCCAGUGAUCCCAAAUCCAGGUCAUUCCCAUCCCAAAUCCAUCCAUUUAUCCCAGAUCCCAAUGAUCCCAAAUCCAGGUCACUCCCAUCCCAGAUCCAUGUUUUUUCCACAUCCCAUUUCUGGUGAUCCCAAAUCCUUUCCUGAUCCCGGUAACCCCAAAUCUUUUCCGUCCCAGCUCCAGAUCCUUCCCUUCCGCUCUCCGCCCGCUGAUCCCAAAUCCCGGCAAUCCCGUUUUCCACACCCUUCCCAUCCCAUUAACCCCCAACAUCCCAGCACCCUGAAUCCCACCCCAGUCCCAAUCCCGAUCCCAUUGUUCCCAAUCCCAAUCUCACCAUUCCCAAUCCCUCAUUCCCAGAGCUGCAUUGAAGAUUCCCUGCCCCUGCUCCGUCUCCUGCUAGACCAUAAAAUCCCAUUAUUCCCAAUCCCAUUAUUCCCAGUCCCAUCAUUCCCACCAAUCCCAUUCCCAGAGCUGCAUCGAUGAUUCCCUUCCCCGGUCCGGCUCCUCCUGGUCCGUGAAAUCCCAUUAUUCCAAAUCCCAUUAUUCCCAAUCCCAUUAUUCCCAAUCCCAUUAUUCCCAAUCCCGUUAUUCCCAAUCCCAUUAUUCCCAAUCCCGUUAUUCCCAAUCCCGUUAUU
ensembl:lncRNA